AGGCAGGGUUCGGCCUUCCCUACCAGGAAUCCCGGUCGAGGCCAGGAGCCAGGGUGGGAAUGUCAAAACCUGCUGCCGGUGCCUCUGGGGGUGAGGGAGGAUCAGGGUCGCCCGAUGCCGCAAGCCCAGGGAUAGGGGCAGCUUUGCCACUGAAUGGUUUUAACCAGACUCAGGGUGCUGUGAGAGCCAUGGCACGCGGCCGUACAUCCCCGUGGCAGCGUGCGGGCGCUCUGGUCCCUGCAGCGGUCCCUGCGGCUGGGCUGCAGCUCUGCCCACCACUAUCCACUCGCGAGCAGUUCUGCUGCCCUCGAACACCUCUCCAAAGUGGGACUGGGGGGAGGAGCGGGGUUAUGAUUUGAUUUAGAUGGGAUAGAAGGAAGAACUGUUUUGUGAGGAUGGUGGCGAGGCGCUGGCACAGGCUGCCCAGAGCAGCUGUGGGUGCCCCAUCCCUGGAAGUGUCCCAGGCCAGGUUGGACGGGGCUGGGGGCAACCUGGCCCGGUGGAAGAUGGCUUUGCCGAAGGUGGGUUGGACUAGAUAUUCUUCGAUGUUCUAACCCAAACCGUCUUACAAUCUAUGGCAGGCCUUAGCCAGUGACCAGGAAGAGGUGUCAGUCCAAGGUCUGAUCCUCACCCAUGCACUGUUGGAGUGGGAGGCACCCAUGCAUGCUGUGGCCCCCUCGGACCCCCAGGAGUGGCUGUGCUCCCUUCUUUUGGAAGAUGCUGCUCCUACAGCAUCUUCCUCAAAGGCAAAAGCAUUUUCUGCCUCCAUGGAUCACUGGUGACUUCAAGUUUUAAAAAUAAGCAAAGGCUCCAGCACAGCCCUGCACGCGAUGUCUAGCCAAAAUGCAAAACUUUACCACAGUGCACAAGUGGGCUGUGUUUUUCCGACCAGGGAACAACGUUAGGGCCCUUUCAUCACCUUUCUUUUGCACUUCUUUUAAAAAUGAUUUAAAUUGGAGGCAAUAGUACUGAACCUCUGACACUCAGACAAGACUCCCUGAAUCACACACUUAAACUGCAUCCAUUUUCUGUAACCACUUUGCUUGCAGCUUUUGUGGUUUGUCCUAUUUUUUUCUCCCAAGCAUUUGUUCUUUCCACUCUGUUUGCUAUUUGUGCCAUCUUCGUGAGAUUUCAUUUGAUUUUUUUCCCUCAAUAUAGGAGAGAGUGCUGGUGACCGCUGGGGUUCAUUUCCCAAUCCUAGUGUUGAUGCACUCCAAAAACCGAGGCUUGCUUCCAGCCCUUCUUGAGCACUGGCGUUAAAGAUGUUGUGCUGAACCCUCAGUCCCUGCGUCUACCGCUGAGGAGAACACACAGCAGAGGAAAGUAAAAUUCCAGAUCGCUCAGCAGAAAGGAAAAACCUGCUUGGAAACCCCUCUGAAAAGGGGCCAAGCAAUAAUCUCAUGCUGUGUGGGUGAGAAUGGCAGUAUCUCCCUUGGAUUUAGAUGGAGCAAGAGCUGCUCGCACCCACUCAGCAUCCAGCCUGCUACAUUUACAGCCCGGAUUUUGAACCAGCUGAAUGAAAAUACUUGUGGGCAGCAAAAAUAGCCAGUGCUGAAAACUGGUGUCUGCUGAGGGUGGAAAUUGCUGGGAGUUCCUCCGUGGCUGCAGCCGAUCAUUAGAACCUGUGUCAUAAAUAAGACGCGGUUGCGUGGUGUGCCACGGCCGGGCUCCCUCCCGCUGCGGCGGCACAGAGCCCGUGCGCCCCGGCCACAGCCCCGGUGUGCUCGCUGCCCCUUGGCCAGAGCCCUGCUGCCGGGUGGCUCCGGGGAUGCUGGUGAAUGGCUCCCUGAGAAACAGGCCUUUUUGGGGGGCUAAAAAAAGAUGCAUCGUGCAUUUUUCCAUUGCAUCAGCACAGUAUGCAGUGUGAUGGAGGAGUCUGUCACCCCAAACGUUAAUGUAAUUUCUACUCCCUCCCUGGGAGCACAGCUCUUAGUCUUGCGAUGCCAGGUAGGAAUGGGAUUAUGUGAAGCCACUGGGGUUACUGCAACUAUAGUGUGUUCACAAAGCAGAAUUUAGCCCUUAUGUGUAUGUAAACGUGCCAUGCAAAUGUAUGCAAACUCAAAUUUUAUAUGGCAAGUAUAUCAGCUGGCAAGGUAUAGUUAAACAAUGUAAUCUGGAACUCUGAAGGAAAAUGUUAAUGCUGUGCAAACCUCCUGCUCUGGCAGUGGGAAAGGCACUGGUGGCAGAGUGAGCACCAGCCUCCUGGAGCCUCCUCCUGUGGGAAGGACAAGCGGGUUCAUCCCCUGCCUUCAGGCACGAUGCCCUUCAGAGAGCAAGGAGGGGAGAGCUGCUGGACGUUGCUGUGGGGAUGCAGAGGAUGCUUUUGCAUUUGAAGAGCCCAGCCUGAAGGGUCAGAGCAGGACCAUGGAGCUGACCCCUCCUCGGGCUCGCAUGGGCUGGCAGCCACACGGGAAAGCGGCUCUGCUCCCCGCUCUGCUGUCGGGGGUCCUGGGAGCAAGGGGUGUGCAGCGGCCACGGGCCAGCAGCCAGCAGAGGGAGAGUUGGAGCGUGAAGCGUGGCUCUUCCCAGGGUUUGUUUCCCAGGAGUACUGGUUUUGAAAGCUGUAUGUUGCCUUUGGAUUUUAGCAGCUGUAAGGAAGCCCUUUGCCUCUCAACAGAUGCUGUCUCGUGCAAAAAAUGGUGAUGCCAUCACCAGUGUUUUAGUUGGCAGAACCCAGUGUCAGUAAACUGGGUGAUCUGGUACAUGUCCCAGUCUCAUAUCCUCCCGUCUCCUGCUCUAGGAGUGGAGGGAGGAGGGAUGGGUGCAUGUGCCCUGUGCAUGCAGCAGCUGGGGCUGCUGCCAGCGCUGCUUUGCCUUAGCAAUAUGAAAGAGAAGGAUAUGCCUGGCUUUCACCUGGAGGUCUCUGGGGUCCUUUGAUGGACAGUGCUGGGAAGCACAGGAUGACACAGCCACACCAGUAGCCACAUCGGUCACAGGGGUGCCUCAGGCUCCCCCCUGCCUGGGCUUCACCUCUCCUUGCAGCACAGCAGAAGCACUGGCCAUCAGCUGUUGGUACCUCGGUACUGACUCAUUCAUUUUUUGAUGCUUCCAGGGCUGGCUCUCAAAGCCCAUGUGGAAAUGCUUGAGCAGCCAUUCUAACCUUUGGGCUGCAAUAAUUAGCCUCACAUGGCAUCUGAUCUGCAACAUGUGGCCUAGGCCAUUACUUUGCUUUAGCUGCUUGUUAGGCCCUAAUCUCUGUUUGAUUUCAAGGUGAAACCGAUUUGAGUUUCCUGGAGUUUCUCAAACGAGCUGCAGGGGUGCUGCCCCCUUCAAUCCUGCUUGUCUCCCCCAGCUGAGCCUGUGUCUGGAAGGAGGAAGGAGUCAGUGAUCACCUGCUGAACCCGGUCCUCUGGGUGCCGUCCCCGUGAUGCUGCAGGGAAAGGAGGCGACACUUGGUUAUACUGGGUCCUUGCUGAUCUGAGGUAUCCGUGGGCUCAUGAAGGAGCAGGAAGGAGAAGCUUCAAGGACUCACAGUAACCAAGAGCCACUUAGAAGUGCUGGAAGAUCUCGGUGGUGAAGUGUUUGUCCAGGUCUCAGGAGAUGUGAGUUUUCUUGGUCUCUUGCUUUUGCCCCCAUCCUCACAUUUCCAACUGAUUCCAGAUUAUGUGAUUUCAACACUUUCCUUUGUUGUGAACUCGGAGGACGAUGCACCCGGGCAGGAACACUGAUAACAGGUAGGAUGGAAAUCCUGAAGAAAUAGAAAUCAUUUAAGGGUCCAUUUCACACUUUUAAUAUUUUCAUAUUGCAAAUAUCAGGCAGAAGUGUUUAAUGGUGAAAAUGUCCCCAGUCUGGUUGAUACUUUCUCUGUUGCUUCACUUGAUCAGGCAAUUUUUCUUUCUGCUGCAUCUCAACCUCAUGCCCCAAAUAACUUCUCUUAAUUCCCACCCUAAAAAGGAAAGUGGGAACAUUUUUGCUUCAUUAAUCCCUCCCUUCUGAUUUUAAAAUUGUGGAUUUUCUGGUUUUAGUUUCUAUUCCUUCAAACAAAACACACUCCUGAUUUUUCACACAGAAAAAUAUUUGGGAUGAAACACCCUCCCUCUCUCAAAACCUCCUACUUGAAAAUGCAUGGAUUUGUUCCUAAUGCCACUAAAAUUAUUUACUAUAUUUAUUAUUUGUUUAGGUAGACAAAGUAAGCUGGGAGAAUAAUAAAAAGGGGGGAUUUCCCUGUGCCAGUGGACCCCAGGUGAGAAACUGACCCGUCACCUCAAAGGCAGGAGAGGAUCAGCUCCAAGGACGCACACCACAAAGCCUGAAACUGGCAUCACCCAGGGCAUUUGCAAUGGCACGGGGAGCCCUUCCGAGCCUUCCAUUCAUUACACCGAGAGUUUUUUUUCUUUUUUUAAUCAAGAGCAGUUGCAAACAUGCCUCAGAUUGCAGGACGGCUUUAUCUGCCAUCUAGUUCAGAUGUGGGGAGGGCAGGGGGAAAUAGGACCCACAUGUUAUCAGCUGAUAUAUGAAAUAGAGAGAGGAUUAUUAAGGAGGAUAAAGGCCACGAGGAAAGAGGAGCCGUGCCUGCUGCUGAGACCCAUCUCUCCCUCCAAGCCUACGCUCCCUCCUCUCCCUCUUCCCUACAAACUCCAGUUAAAUGAUGAAAGGGCUGGUGUCAGGGCUUCAGAAUUUAUGUGGAUAACAGCGCAGUGAGGCCUGGCAUUAGAGAAUUAGAUCCACGUGUUGCUCCUGCAGGAUGAUCUAUGGGCAGGUUUCUGGGGAUCAGCAGAAAAGUGAAAUAUGACGGUGGGUCUCUGGCUGGCUCUAAUCUCGCCCCGCUCCCACGUCCCCUACCUGCCGGCGGCUCCUCCUGGCUGUCUGCUAUUACCCAGCCCACGUGCCCGGCUCCACCUUAAUUACUGCUCUGUGGCUUGUGGAUGCUCCUCUCGGGUGGCCUGUCCAUGAGCAGUGGCUUGGGAGCACCGGUCCAGGGCCAGGUGUCCAAAGAUGCUGCAGCCUGGCGUGGGCUGGACCCAACAGAGAGAUCAGGAGCCUGCGCAGCACCCGGGGUAAGGCUUUUCUGAGCUUUUGCAGAGGCUGUGGAGUUUCAUCCAGCAGCUCUGAUGAGGGCUGAAUGUAUUUCCACAAUAUUUCUGGCAGCAAAUCUGCAGCUGUGGCUGGGCACAACCACAGCCUCUUGUUUGCAGAAGCCCAUGCAGCCAAGUGCAUCAGGGAAGGGGGGAGGUUUGGUGUCAGCAUCUCUGCUGGUACCCAGAUUUAGUAGCAGGUCUCCCGAGUAUCCUUUCCUCCUGGAGGAGAAAAGAAGGGAAGACAAGCUGGCAGUGGCGCCAUCCACACAGGAGGGUGGGAGAGCAGCCUGGCUUAGCUCCGUCCCACUGGUGGGACUGCAUGUGCUUGUUCAGCUCACCGUGCAGGGAGCUGUUGUCCAACUGCUGCUCUUCUCUGGUGAGCUGCAUUCAGACCUGUGGUGCAAGGUAGCGUCUCCUGCCCCAGGACCUGUUUCCCUGCAGGCUGUGGUCCUCCUUGUGCGAGUUUGCUUAUUAAAUGCAUGCCCCCCCACAUCCAUAUCUGAGGAGGCAGCAAGUGGGUAUUAUACGUCUCUGAAAUCUGAUUAAACUCAACCUAGACAUAAUAUUAAUAAUUUAAUAUUCCCUUGCAUAUAAUAUUUUCACUUGCCUCCCACAUAGCCCAAGUAAAGGGUUAGAGAUUUGCCUCAAAUAAUAUUCUCUCACUGGUUUUCUACUCUGACCUUUAACCUUUCCAGAUUUUCCCAUUAAAACACAGAGGGAGAAAAGAAACAAGAUCUUGUCAAAAAGGAGGAGCUACUGAACUUGUGACCAUCAUUGGAGCGGGCUCCCCCACUGCUGGAUUUGGAAUGUAAGUGGCCUCGUUGAAGUCUAUCACUACUGAAACAGCCCUCUUCCUCCUGCUCUCCUUGAGGUUAAAGCACCCGUGCUGGUAAGUCCAUCCUUGCUCCUGUCCCCUCUUCCAUCUGUCCUGGUCUACCACACUCCUACAAGGUGACGGGUGCUGAAGCUGGAGCCAGCAUCCCAGGGUUGGUGGCAGGAGAGUGCAUCCCUUAAGGACUUUGCAAGCAAUAAUCCUAUCUAUACCUUCUGGUCCAGUGGUUGCCUUUUUCAUGAGGGCAGGUGACUGGUGACUCCUGCCUGACUGCACCAUGAGCCAGGCUUGCCCAGCAAUCAAUGGUCACUCCUGAUGUCAGUCGUUCCCCUUUUGCUGAAUUAAAUGCUUGCUGAAUUGUUUUUGAGAGUUGUUUCAGGCUCUAGCUCCAAUUUUUUUCAAGAUCAAGCUAAACGCCUGGUUUUGGCAUUGCUAUUUAGGAAUUGUCUUGCUUAGACUCUGCUUGAGUUUCUCCAUCCUCAAAAUAGGGCUGACGCUAAUUGCCCAUUUGCAAUGCAUUUCCAGACGCGUGGCUGUAAAGUGCUAUAUGAAAAAAACAGGCAUUGUUAUUAUGAAACCUUCAGGAAAAAAAAAAAAAAAAGAUUCAUAUAACUCCACGGUCAUUAAAACAAACCUUAUGUGGAUGGAAGAGACCAGAACUGAAUAAACCUUGAGCAAACACAGCCUUUCACAAUGAAACACAAACUGGUUUUAAUCAGCAGUGCCAAAUAAGUUUUAUUUUCUGAGGUUUCUUUCCCCCCUCCCGUCUCCUUCUUUUAAUAUUAGCAAUUGCAGAAGAGCACUUUGGUCUGAUGAAAAGAGGGGAACUUUGCCCGAUUCCUGGUCCUAAUGAAUAUCAUUUUUAAAAAACAACAACAAAACACUUCGCUUGGGCUGGCUGGGUCUCAAGUUGCUUUCAGCUACACUAGGAUCUCAGCCAGCCUUUCUGAGCGUGUUACCCUGUGGUUAGAGCACCGCUAUGGCAAAUGCCCAUAGAUUUUGGACAAAACUGGGUUUAAGCCCCAUCAGAUGGUAAGAGAGAGCUGACAAUCACCUCCUUGUGGCCACACAGCAAUUUUUCAUUCUGCCUCCCCAAAGCUUCUGUGUUUGUCUGGGAGACAGGAACAGCUUUCUGCCUAGAGGGUGAUGAGGUUACGCAUCCUGAGCUGUCACGGUGAGUCAACCGCCUGGAGCGGUGGGGUGCCUGCAAGGCAAGGAUUGGGAAACGCCCUCGGAGGGGAGCCCGGUGCUGUUCGCUCAUCUCUGCCUGCACUGAGGACCUCUCUCCAGCAGGACACCUUCCACACGGGGAUGUUCUUGCAGCUUUUUAAGUGUCCUGGCUCCUCUAUGGGGUUGAUAGCUUGAUUCUGAAAAGGUCACCAUCCCCACCUUUCACCAGAACAAGACAGUCUCCAACUGGAAGAGGACAGGAGAGCUAAUUUUCGUUACAAUAAUGACACCUAUCUGUCUGUUUAUUCCUUUGCCUCUUUCCUCCAUCCAGACUUUAGGCUCUCCAUGGACCACCUGCCUAAUGACUGGGAUGCUGGAGGCUGGGCUCAUCAAAUACUUACAAAUAGUUACCCCUGCACAAAGCUGACCUGGUGCUGACCACCCAGCAUCACAGACUUUCCAUUUUCAUGUAUUCCAGGCGACUUCAGUGUCCAGGGCAAAAAGCUAUUGCAGAAGGUCAUGUUGACAUCUAUUUUUGACAUGAAAGGUGCCAGCUAUAAAUUACUAGUGGUGGGAUUCAUCGAGGAGAAGGAAAAGGGGACUUCCCACUUUAUCUUGCUUGCCUCACACCAAAUCCAAGCUCAUCUCUGGGAUGAAGGUGGAGACUUAGCAUCUUGUCAGCUGUCAAGGAGGUAAAGCUGGGAGAAAACAGUCCUGUGAUUAGCAUCCUUGCCAAUGCGCACCUUAUUUUGUAGUAAAAGUUAUGAAGUCUGCUUGCAUGUUCAUUUGUACGUACUAAAUCUGGUGACAUGUCUUGCAAUGACAUGUGUGGAAGAUGUCUUUUUGGAUGAAGCAUGAGUCAGUCUCGUUCCUGCAUGGGAAAAUUCCAGUCGAUGCUACUUUCACUGUCUGGAAUAAAUGAGCACCCUCCUGGUGAUGCCAUCAGGCCACGUGAGCACCAGCCAGACCUGGAAACAUGCAGGUUUUUGGUAGCUAUAGGAGUCUAAUAUUGUGUAAGUCGUUGGCAAAAGUGUGUGUAUCUAUUUGCAAUCUGUUGCCUCCUGCUAACAGGUUUAGGUCCAGAUCAGUAAUGGUAUUUAAUCACCUACCUCUUUGUAAUUACAUUGGUAUGUAAAGUUUUAAUUAUAUUUUGUUCUCAGCUGUGCUAGGUCUGUCAUUUUGCAUUUGUCACUGGCAAAGACUGUGCACAAAGAUGUGCAGUAACUUUAAAAAACCUGCCAGUUCUUAGUGAUGCUGAAACCUUCAUUUUUCUGCUCAGCUGGUGAACUUGUAUGUGCUAAAGCUGGUGAUCUCACAAAGCUCGCUCAGCCUCAGGUUCAUAAAAAUGGCACAGUCAUUGCACUGUCAAGAAAUAUUUUCAAACUGUAAUGACAGUGCCCUACAGCAAUUUCCUUCUAAUGUUGCUUGAGAUGAUGACAAUGACUCAUAAAAGCUAGAAGUCUCCAGAUUCUUUGGCUAGCAGGAUGUCCUGGUGAUGCUCAGAGGGUCUCACACUUGGGUGGGAUUUUGUGUCUCAUCAGCCCAAAGAAUGAGUGCAUGGUGGCUGGACUAGGCUAAGGAAAAGAGACAAGGAGAUAGCAGAGAUCGAGAACAGAAAUGGUGAUAUAGCAGGAUGAGUUCUGGAUUUUGCAAGAAAAAGGCAUAUUCCUCUUCAUUUCUGCAUGGAUUUAUUUAUUUAUUUAUUUAUUUUAUUUCAUUUUAUGGCACUUCUGCAGGCACCAGUUCAGGGUCACACAGUCUUGUCACUUGAGGAGAGGGUGGCAGGCUGCCCUGUCCCAUCCCCAGUUUUCUACAAUAGCACUGGGCAGAUUCCCCAGCAAUGAGAGAAGGACAGCGAUGCACCAUGCGUCUGUUGGGUGGUUGAAGUUCUCAGAAUCUCUGCUGGAACAUGACUAACAGGAUGUUGGCUUCUCAAAACUGAUCUUCUGUCAGUUUUGAAGUUGUGUUCUCGAUCUUACAUCCAGAGUCAGUGUCCUUGUAUGAAAAUAUCCCUGCAUCAUCAGGAUAUUUCAGCCCACAGAGGCUGUUCAUGCAGCUUUUUCUGAAGUGUUUGGUCCAGGCCACACAGAUGCCUGGUCUGUGCUGAUGCAUGCUGGAAUUACCCGUGUUUCUAGGGCAAACAUCUCAGAAGAUCUCUGAUCCUCCAGACUAAAAGACCACAUCCUUAAAAGGUGCAUGUAGGUAUGGAACAGAGCAGGAUGUUAAAUACGCAACCUACGUCAGCAAGGAGCUUGCUCUUAAUCAACCAUCCACCUGGAAUACCUGGGGGCAAGGAAGGAGGCUGCGGGAACAUGUUGCAACAGAUGAAGGCAUCCCGGAGGAGAGCUGCCACCCAAACAGCCAGCAGGAAGGUGCCUUCAGAAGCCACUUGUUAAACGUCUCCUGCUUGAUCCCCACAUGACAGCACGCCAGAAGCAGGAUGAAAAAGUUCAUUCCAAUAAGUCCCCCUCCUCAUUCCAGCAGGUUUAUUAUCCUAAUUGACUUACGGCACUCGCUUCUAAAUGAGCCUGCUUGGAAAUGCGAUCGGCACCGGUAAUUUUCCACUUUAUGGCGUACUUUAUAAUAAAUAAUUUAAAAAAUCAUAAAUAGCAGUAGUAUUAGAUCACUGGCGCUCAUGAACUAGCCUUAGUUUAAAGUAUGGUGUAGUAAAGAGAGGCUUUUUUGAUGAUGCUAAUUUUUGAUGAUGAUAAAAACUGUGUCUGUGUAACUCUUUUGCCAUAAUUAAAUUAUUGCUUAUAAGAACUUUUGCUUGGUCAAACAAGAGAAAAAAACCCCAAUUAUAAUAAUUCCACUUCAGUGUUUUCCAUAAGCUCCUAGCCAAGCUGGCCAAUAACUAAGGCAAAGAGUAGGGGGGAAAAAAAAGGUAUGUAUUGUAUACUUAAAACUUGGCUAGAAAUGACCUUUUAUUGUCUAAUUUUUUUUUCCAUGCCUAAGUUGGCUACUUGAGACAAACUUAUUGCCAAGUUUCUAUAGUGUGUUAUUUUCCUAUAUGUUAUGUGUUUGAAAACUUUAAAAUGCUGCCCUCCAAGUGUUUUACAAAGGUUUUGCAUGGGCAAGGGUGGAGGAGCCUGGGUUUGAUAGCAUUACUGAUGAAGAUGCCGGUGCUAAAAAUCUAGAUCUAUUUUGCUUGCUUUUUUUUAUUUUUUGCUUCCCUCCCCCCCCUUUCCUGUUCCUCAUGCAGCCCAACAUGGCAAGACCUCCAAAUGGGCUGUGCUAACAAAUGCAGCUGAAGACAGCCAUGUGAUGUUAAUAUAAACCUCCUCUGUCAGCUUGGAGAGGCACCAGGCAAUCGCCCAGGAAUGCUUUUUGCAGCGCCUGUCUCUGCUCGGUGCCACGCGGUGGCAUUUGUCAGGCGCACUCAGCCACGGCUCUCGGGAGGGUGCGGAGCCUUUUCCCUCUGUCUGGGUCACCAUAACAUGUGUCAUGUUGUGUCUGAGCACAGGGAUGAUUUUUAAUUAAAAAAAAAAAAAAAAAAAAGAAAAGAAAAGGAAGCAAUUCUGGCUUACAAAAACCAACCCCAAAAGCUGUUCCUGUCAUUCUGGUGCAUCCAUAAGGAUCCGGCCAUCGCGUAACUGAUACUUGAGUCAUGAUAAAAAAAGAAGUGCAGCUGUCUUUACAUUUCAAGGGUAAUUUCUCUUUGAGUCCCUCAUUAAAAUCACCACACUGGAAUAAAUAUAAAGACCGGGGGCUCAGGCAUAUUCUUAUUUGGGAUCAUUGCGUUUCAGAAAGGAAGAAAAAUAAUUUUAAAGUUUGAUGCAAUUUUUUUUGUGGUUGUGCAGUUUAAGUUUGCGUUUCACUGCUUUUGCCUCAGAGACAUGUUUAAUUUCUUUUUUUCUUUUAAUAUUUAAUUUCAUUUUCUGUUUUUUAUGAAGUCCCACAAUGUUUUCUUUGUGGUGAGCUGCCAUGGUGUUACCAAUGCAUCUGAAAUAUUACAGGCAGAAAGACAGCCACUUGAAAGCAAUAAUGAGGGCAAGUCUGUCCUAGCUUUUAUUUCCUCUAUGUAUUUUGUCCUAUAUAAAGUUAUACAAAGGAUAAGGCUUUCAGGCAUCCUGAUCCUGCAACUGCUUAUAAACAUAGUUAAUUUUAUUAUGCAGUGGCACAAACUGAAUACAUUUCUAACAGAGAGGUAUAAUGUCUAGCUUUUGAACAUGGUUUAGAAAUCCAGCUAUGGAAAAGGAAAUAAAAGUUCAAUUUUCAAAUGCAUCUUGUGACACCAAACAUCUUUUAAAACCCUACCGCAAACGAUUUAGAAGCAAAAGUCCCACUCAAUAAGAGCGGAGCCUAAAUCAGUCAAACGUGGCAGAAGGUGAUUACAGUCCUGAUGGAUCCUUUUCCAUUUUAUGGAUUGUGCUAUUUUCAUGUUCUUAUUUUCACUCUGCUGAUGGACUCACUCUUUGUUAGCACAUUGGUAACCAAGUGCGUAUGUAACUCUGCUAUGUGCACUGCUGGCAUUUGUUGGGUUACUCAAAAGUAGGUCAAAUCAGAGAGGACUGAAGGAAAGUGAUGGAGACCAAAUUGAGAGAGGAAAGGUCAUGUGCAGCACGAUGAGCGCAGAUGGCUUAUUAUCACUAGGACCAUGUGGCAGAAUCCAAACUCAUCUCACAGUCUGUUUUCAUGACACAAAACUCUUUCAGGGACUGCUGAACCUCUGAAAGUAUCUGGGUACGUUCUGCAUCAUGUUCACACUUUGCUGACCUUGCAGAAGCCUCGGAGUAGUUGCAGUUUCAAAUCUAGCUUUGCAGACAAAGAGGUUUAGUGCGAUGCUUGUGGUGGGAUGGAGAUCCCAUAAAUAUUUCGGUGUUUGCCAGGUCUCUCAACCCAGACUCAACCCGUUUCUAUAGGUUUUCAGAAAGCAGAUGAACAUUUUGUGGGUCCCACCUUGCUGGGAAUCUCUGCAGGAGUGAAAGCAACUCAACAGGAGCUCUUCUCUGUGGAUCAGUCCUCACCUUACUCCUGCUCAAAGGCUAACCAGAAAGCAAGCAUCAAGCAACUGAAGGAUUUACAUUGGAACUGGAUCCCCAUGGAUCAGAACAUGAAUAACACCUCCAUCCCCUCCCAAAACUUCCAAGCCUGACCUUUCACAAUCCCCAUUUCCUGACCAAUGACUCCAAAGAAAAUAGAGCUGCUAGUUGGUAUUUAAUGGAAAUCUGCGCAAAACUUGUCAAAAUACACCACCAUGCCUGUCAGAUGCCUGGGACAAGACCUCUACAGUAGUUUCCAGAAACCCAGUGCAAUUACUUACAUUUUAAAUUAUCUUUAAUUGUUGCAUGCGAGCUACAGAAACGUUUUUCCCCACGCUGAAGCAAGACCUUGCUAUUAGGAGUCACCCCAUAAUUGCAGCUUUAAUAGGGGGACUGCAGCAGGUCAGCCACGGAGGUUAGCGCCGGGCGCAGCAAGGUGAGAGCGGCUGCUCAGCACCAGUAAGUGGAAGUGACACAUCACGAUGGUCCCAUCAAUUAUGUGGGGGCAGUUUGGAGUGUAAACUUUUUAGUGAAUCUAAUUACCUCGCCAGAUGUUUUAAUCCAAUCUCCUCGCCUCUCCUCUGCCAUCAAAUAAUACAUUGUUUUUUGAGUUCCUGAUGUGAAAAUGUCACCUUAACUAGGGAAUAUAGGAAAAACUUGGGGUU